UACAGAGGUCUCAAGCGUUGUUCGGAUUCAUUGGGCGUAAAGGGUGUGUAGGUGGCGCGCUAAGUCGGGUGUGAAAUUUCGGAGCUUAACUCCGAAACUGCAUUCGAUACUGGCGUGCUUGAGGACUGGAGAGGAGACUGGAAUUUACGGUGUAGCAGUGAAAUGCGUAGAUAUCGUGAGGAAGACCAGUGGCGAAGGCGGAUCUCUGGACAGUUCCUGACGCUGAGGCGCGAAGGCCAGGGGAGCAAACGGG
rnacentral:rRNA from 1 species